CCCUCGGGCGCUGCCUCCCGCGGGCCGGGCGCCCGGUGCUCGGCGAUCCGGAAGAGGGCGCCCGCCCGGCCCACGUCCGCCGUGUCCCCGCCCGGCGCGCCGCGCUCGCCAGCCCGCGGGCUCCGCGCCAUCGAUCGGGCCGCAGGGACCCGGCAUGUGGCACUAGCCACAUUCCAGGUGCCCUGAAGCCACAUGUGGCAGGAGCUACCGCACCGGGCCAGCAGAGAUCUGGAAUGAGAAGCCCACAGGAUAGGAGCUUCUGCCCCGACCCCUGCCCCCUCCCUGUGAUAGUGAGGAGGGACCUCUGGAGGCAGAAGAGUCUCCUGGCAACUAGAGCAGCUGGUUUGGAGGGAAGAGCCUGACAGCUGGGCUUGGGUACUUCUCAUUCCCAGUCAGUGCCUAGUCUUCUGGCUGUAGCAUCUAAGAAUCUCACGAGGCAAACUGAGCCAGGAGUUCAUUCUAGAGAUGAGGAAACUGAGACCUCAACUUGCCCAAGAUCACACCCGGGCGUUUCCUGCUUCCCAGCCUUUGCAUUUGUCUUGAGUCACGCACUUCUCUUCAGCUUUGAGACGUCAGCUUAGAGGUCACUUCAGCCAGGAUGCCCCGUCCCCCAGCUGCAGACAGGUUCGGACCUUUGUCAGGGUCACACACAGCCAGGAGGGGACUGAAAGCAAGCUCUGCCGGUGCCCUGACCCUGUCCUUUCUCCAGCUUCACCUUGCCUCUCCCAGAGCCAGCCGGCCUCAUGCUGAGGCACCAGCAGGCAGAUGCAGAGGGCUCAGCUGGGAAUGAGAAGGCCACUUCCCGAGAAUUUCUGGAAUCCACAAAUAAGAUCUGAGACAAACAGGACCCCGGCCCUUCAGGCGAGUGCCUGCCUGGAGAUGGGGGUUUCAAAGGUGUGGAUCACGGGGGAAAAUUGUAUUGUCAAAGAAGAAAACCAGUGCUGCCAUCCCUCCUUCACUCAUUAAUUUCUGGGGAAGUAUUAAUUUCUGGGGAAGUAUUAGCUGUCAGCAAGCAGCAGCCCUCCAAUUCGAAUUACAGAAUUUGAAUUCUUAAUUUCUCCUAAUCCAUCAGUGAGCUGCCUUCCUGGGCUAAUAUUAGCAGCAUUGGUGAAGCUUGUAACAGUCAUUGAUGUCUCCAGUCCUCUGAAAAAAGCCCUAAUCAACAGAGCUGGGCCUGGGGCAUGGGCCCCUAGAGGCAGGGACUCCGAUCCCCACUCCCCAGCUGCCCCCAGUCUCCAGGAAGAGAGUGCAGAGUUUUACAAAGGUCCCUGGAGAGACGACAGAGAGAGAGAGAGAGAGAGAGAGAGAGAGAGAGAGCGCAAAGGAGAGGUGGGGAAGAUGGAAUCAGAGCCUGUGAGAGGCUUGGAACCAGGAAGAGAGGGAGAAAGGGGCUCAGGGAAAGACAAAAUCAGUAAGACCAAAAGAGGUGGAGGCAGAGUGAUGGAGAGACUGAGCCAGAGGCCCAAAGAGAUGGAUGGAGCCCGAGCUGGAGAGGAGGAAAGGAGCCUUUCAGAACGUAGAGUCAAAGCAACCCUCAUUCAGACUCUGUGCAGGGAAAAAACACAGGAAAGCAAAACCAAAACCCUCCUGUGACUCCCAGGGUGUCAUGGAAAGUGUGGUGUUCCACGGAUUACAUGGCCCCCAUAUCACUGGGCCCACCAGUUCACAUUGCCUCUAGUUCUGGAUCAGGCACCUUGUCUCAAAUCACAGCUGAAAGACCUCCUCCGUCAGAAGGCCCUCUUGCUUUCUGUCCACCAGCACCAUCUCUCUCUCUCUCUUUUUUUUUUUUUUGAGAUGGAGUCUCAUUCUGUCGCCCAGGCUGGAGGGCAGUGGCGUGGUCUCAGCUCACUGCAACCUCCGCCUCACGGGAUCAAGCGAUUCCUGUGUCUCAGCCUCCUGAGUAGCUGGGACUACAGGUGCGCACCACCAAACUCAGCUAAUUUUUGUAUUUUUAGGUAGAGACGGGGUUUCGCCAUGUUGGCCAGGCUGGUCUCAAACUCCUGGCCUCAAAUGAUCCACCCGCCGCCUCAGCUUCCCUAAGUGCUGGGAUUACAGGCAUGAGCCACCGCACCCGGCCCACCAACACCAUCUUUUCACUGCUGGGCAGUAACACUCUCUCCUGGUCAGCCACCCAGGUCCUGAAGACACUCUGUGCUGCUGCGUCUGUCUCCACGCAGGUGGGAAGAACGUGGGAGGCAAGCCGAGCACUAUUUGUGCACUUCUUUUUAUUUAUUAAUUUUUUUGAGACGGCCUCUCACUCUUUUGCCCAGGCCAGAGUGCAGUGGCACGAUCUCAACUCACCGCAACCUCCAUCUCCCGGGUUCAAGCAAUUCUCCUGCGUCGGCCUCCUGAGUAGCUGAGAUUACAGGCAUCUGCCACCAGGCCCAGCUAAUUUUUUUGUAUUUUUAGUAGAGAUGGGGUUUCUCCAUGUUGGCUCGAACUCUUGAUCUCAGGUGAUCUGCCCACCUCAGCCUCCCAAUAUAUGUCCACUUCUUAUUUAAUCUCUUCGACAGGGCCAAGAGGUACAGACUUUUUUUUUUUUUUUUUUUUUUUUGAGACGGAGUCUAGCUUUGUCACCCAGGCUGGCGUGUAGUGGCCCGAUCUCGGCUCACUACAACCUCCACCUCCCUUGUUCAAGUGAUUCUCUUGCCUCAGCCUCUCAGCCUCCCAAGUAGCUGGGAUUACAGGCGUGUGCCACCACACGCGGCUAAUUUUUGGUGAGACAGGGUUUCACCAUGUUGGCCAGGCUGGUCUUGAACUUCUGACCUCAAGUGAUCCACCCACCUCAGCCUCCCAAAGUGCUGGGAUUACAGGUGUAAGCCACUGCACCCGGCUGGUACAAACUGUUAUUACCCCCAUUUAACACAUAAGGAAACACACCUUAAGUCACUUGCCCAAAGUCAUGGGGCAAUGACAUAGUGAUUUUGGGAUUUGAAUCCCAGUAGGCUGACUCCAAAGCAAAGCACUUAACAUCACGUUGGAGAAUCUUGGGAAACCCCCGGGAGUUGUAUAUGGUGCAGUCCCCAUCCUUGUUGAACUACCAAAGGUUGAAGGCCAUGCCAGUCCUGCCCCAUGACUUCCUCACAUGACUCCAGUUCCAUCAGCCAAUCUUCUUACUAACAUCCAGAUAGCCUCGGACCCUCUGCCCCCAUCCAGCCGACCCUGUCCCUCCCACCUGCCUUUCCAUCUCUCUGAAUCCAGGCCUUCACCUGGGCAGGCCCAGCUCAAGUCAGGCUUUCAGCUGGAAGCUUUUCCCCGCCUGCAUCCCUAGCUCCAUGGCCUGUCCCUCUCUGACCCAGUCUUUGUCCUUUCUGUGGAUUUCCUGCCUCCUCAGCAAGUUCUGAGCCUCUCCAUGCACAGCCAGGUGCCCUCUGAAGUCCUAGGACCCAGCUUUGCCCGGGCUUGUGCUCAGUAAAUAUUUGUGGACUUAUCAACUGAUUGAUUGGUGAAGUGAAGACAGGAGACCUGGGACAAAGAUGCCUGAGAACUCAGCAGUGUCCCUCUCAGCCUGGGCCCUGGGGAGGUGCUGGGGAGCCUGACACACACAGGUGAGGACUCCAGGCCCCAGCAGGUGUGAAUGGCCAGGUGUUGGCACUCCCAGCUGCCUGCGGGUGACCCUGUCUCCCCAGGGUGGGAGGAUUUGGGGAUGUGUGGGGGGGAGAGGGAACUUGGGAAGUGAGUGCUUCAGGCUGCGCUGAAGUUCCCCUGGCCCCCAGGCUCUGCCCAGGCACCUAGGGCAGGAGGCAGACUCUAGGGUCUUCUCCAAGUUGAGAUGUCUCUCCCCACUCCCUUUGCUGCUCCUGCUCCUCCCCUAGCCCCCACUGGAGAAUCUGGGCCUGAUAGAACUAUUUUGGGCCAAACCUCUGAAUUAUGCAUGGUCUGGCCAGUAAGCUGGCUCUUCCUGAUCAGUGGCAGUGGGGGUUGGGGAGUAGAGUGAUGGCUGCAUUUCUCUUCCCGUGUAAGUGUCUGAGUUUGUGCAGGUGCCAGGCAGAGUGUGAUGGGGUGGCAUACAUAUGUUUGUGUAGACUUUGUGACUAAGGAAUUGUGAAUGUGCAUGGGUCCACAAGUAGGAGCUAUGGGGUCCCAGAGACUUUUUCCUUCUCUCUGAGGCUCCAGGAUGGUGGGCCCCUGGGCUCAGUACCUUGUGGUUCCCAAAUUUGUGUGUCUGGGCAGGAUGGGCACAGGAUGACUUAAGUCAUCAUCCUAUUUCCAUCCUGUCCCUGCCUUGCCUGCCCAUGGGAUCCUCAGGAGCUAGAUGGACAGAAAAGAGAUAUCAACCUAUCAGGGCCAGAUCCAGGAGAGGGGAAAGAGAAGCCAUUAACUGCCUGAAAAUAUUAGGUUGGUGUAAAAGUUAUUGCAGUUUUUGUCAUUGAAACUAAUAGCAAAUUACUUUUGCACCAGCCUAAUAAUAGCAGUAAUGACCACUACGAGUUGAAGACCUCCUCUGGGUUUAGGUAUUUUACAUAUAUUAAUUGAGUUAAAUGUCACAACACUUCUAUAUGCUAGGUACUUUUAGACCCAUUUUAUUGAUAAGGAAAUGAAGGGUCAGAAAGACUAAGUACCUUGUUCAAGAGUGCACAACAUGGAACUAAUAGAAUCAAGAUUUUUUUUUCUUUCUUUUUUUUUUUUUGAGACAGUCUCACUCUUGUUACCCAGGCUGGAGUGCAGUGGUGCAAUCUUGGCUCACUGCUAACUCUACCUCCCGGGCUCAAGUAAUUCUACUCCUCAGCCUCCUGAGUAGUUGGGAUUACAGGCAUGUGCCACCAUGCCCGGCUAACUUUUGUAUUUUUAGUAGAGAUGGGGUUUCACCAUGUUGGGCCAGGCUGGUCUCGAACUCCUGACCUCAGAUGAUCCACCCACUUUGGCCUCCUAAAUUGCUGGGAUUACAGACAUGAGCCACCAUGCCCAGCCUAGAAUCAAGAUAUAAACAACUAAGAAAAUAAGGCAAGCCAUAUCCUGGGAGAAAAUAUUUGCAAUACAUAUAUCUGACAAAGAACUUGUAUCCAGCAAACUCUUACAAUUCAAUAGGAAGAAGACAAACAAUCCCAUCGUAAAAGGGUCAAAAGAAGAGAUAGGAUGGCCAAUAUGUGCAUGAAAAAAAAUUCAGUAUUAUUCGUUAUCAGGGAAAUGCAAAUUAAAACCACAAUUACAUACACUGCACAGCCAUUGGAAGACUGACCAUGGUAAGUGUUGAUGAGCUUGUGGAGCAACUGGAACUCUCACAUGCUGAUAAUGGAAAUGUACAAUGGUGCAACUACUUCAGAAAACAGUUUGUCAGUUUCUUGAAAAGUUAAGCAUACAAUAACCACAAGAUUCGGUUAUCCUACUCUCAGGUGUUUAACCAAGAAAAAUGAAAAUAUAUGUUUACUGAAAGACCUGUGUGUACACACAUGCUCAUGGUAGCUUCAUUCACAGCAACUGAAACCCUGGAAACAAGACAAAUGUCCAUCAGCAAGUGGCCAGAUUGUUGUAUGUGCAAAUAAUGGGAUACUUCUGAGCAACAAAAAGAAUAAAGUACCACCAUAAAAACAAGGAUGAAUCUCAUCAACAUUCUGCUCAGUUAAAGCAGCCAGAAACCAAGAGUACAUAUUACAUAAUUCCAUUUAUAUGAAAAUCCAGAAAAGACAAAUCUAAUCUAUAGUGACAGAAAGCAGAUCAGUGGUUGCCGGGGGCUGGGGGAAGGGUGGGGAACUACGGGGAAGAGGCACAGGGGAGCUUUUUGGGAUGAUGCAAAUGCCCUAUAUCUUCAUUGUAGUGGUAGUUAUAUGUGUCUAUAAAUUUGUCAAAACUCAUCAAACUGAACACUUAAAAUGUGUACAUUUUAUUGUAUGUAAAUUAUACUUCAAUAAAGUUGAAAAAAGAAACCAAGCAAGCUGAGCUGAACUCCACAUUUGUAACUGUUAUGCCCUGUGUGUCUCAAGGUAGUGGGAAGGGAGUCUUGGGCACCUGGGGCCCCUUUGAAGAAGAGAAAGCUUUACCAUACAUACAGGCAAGGCAACAAAGAGAGAGAGAGAGAUCAAAGAAGAGAAAGGGUUGUGGUUCUUUGGAAUUGACUACCCACCCCCAGUGGGAAGGAAGCAUCCAGCUCCCCUCUGCCUUACUGGCCCCCACCACCCCAGGCUCUGUAUGGCUUUCCCUCUAACCUGAGGGACUGAGCACCCAUGGAAGUGUCUAGCCUCCUGCUGGGACCCCUCCCUGACCCCUCCUAAAGGCGACACCUUACAGCUUCCUCAACAGCAUCAUCCUGACUGGCAGAUCAGGAACUCCUAGGGAGUCAAUGUUUUGUUUCCCUCCACGAGGCCAAGCCUACCCCUGCUCAUCCUCCUGGGAGCCUCUCCCGCUCAUCAUCCAGGGGACUAAUAUGGGCCUUGAGUGCAGCAUGGGCACACUGCUCUAGGACAGGUUACCAAGCUUACCCACCCAGGGACCCUAAGGGUGUCCAGGAGGGGCUGGCUGGCCAGGCAGAAGGCCAGUGUGCUGGUGCUCCUGGCCCUUGGUCUCACUUGCUGCUGUCAAUCACUGACGAAUGCCUGUUAAGUGCUCGGCUUUGAGUUAAGCCCUAUGCCUAUGUUUCCUCUGUUAACCCUCCAG
rnacentral:lncRNA from 1 species